rnacentral:rRNA from 1 species
ACUCCUACGGGAGGCAGCAGUGGGGAAUUUUGGGCAAUGGGCGAAAGCCUGACCCAGCAACGCCGCGUGAGGGAGGAAAUCCUUCGGGAUGUAAACCUCACAAGCAAGGGAAGAGCGCCGCGGGCUGAAUAAUCCCGCGGUCCGACGGUACCUUGCGUAAGCCACGGCUAACUACGUGCCAGCAGCCGCGGUAAU